CUUGUGAAGGUAGAUAUGUUGUUUCAUAUAGACCCUCGGUUCAAGUAAAGCAUAAUAAAAUCAUGUAUGGAAAGGAAAAUAAAGUAAUUUUGAGAGAACAACACAAUACAUAUACUAUAACCAAAGGAAAAAAAAAAACGAGAAGUAAUAAUAAAAUUGGAGAACAAGAUAGUAUAAGAGUAACAAUAACAAUCCUGAUAAGGGGAGUCAGACAUCGUUUGACUACCUACUAACCUUCUACCCUAAUCCCCGACCUUCAUAUCUUCCUAUCUAUCGUGUCCUCUUAUUAAUGAUAUAUAAAGAGGACUCUUCAUGGAGAAGUCCUUAGUUAGAUGAAAUAAUGGAUGUUUUCUAAUUGCUGGAAUCCCAAAUUAUGAUGGCAUAAUUAUUCAGAAUAUUUUAAACCUAUUUCUUGAUAAUUCUGUUAACGCAAUGACAUAAUUAUUAAGAAUACUUUACAGAGGUUCAGCAAUUUUCUUGUCUUUCAACAAUUGGCAUGCAUAUUCAGUACAAAAUUACCAAUCAUGGAUGCGAGGUGCAUCUAUCAAUAUGUCCAAAUGGUUGUGCUCAUGUUUCAUCCAUUAUGUUGCAGCUACUAUUCAUAGAAUAUGUGAGAUCUUAAGACGAGAGGUACAAACCAACUUCAUGAAGGCCUAAAAGUAAUAUGCUACAUUGGAUAAUGGAUUUUCCUAAUCAUCACAAAACUUCUUAUGGCCAAUAGGCUGAAACCAUGUAUCUUUUAAGGAAAGAAUUCUACUUUCCUCCUCAUUUGUUGUUACUAAAGAUAUAUGUUCUUAUAUUUUGUUAUGCUUUUUGUGGUUCUACGAGAUUUAAUAUUUUUACUCUUCCAGGUGAGUAUGUUUUUAUGGAUAACUUGACUCCUGCAUUAAUAUCAAAUCAGAUUGUCUCUACCAGUAGCUCCAGAAAAUUUAUGGUGCGAACAAUUCUACCAAGCACCAUACCACCAUCAUACAGGGGUGCAACCAUUCGUUACCUUUACUAUGUUAGAAGUAUUUUAUCUGGACAAUACUUGAUGAUGGAAAAUGGUCACUUCAGCGAAGAGUCUAUACGAGAUCUUGCGGAGCAGGAAACAAGAGUACCACUGCAAUUAUGGGUAACUCAGAAGAGUAAUGGCCUUCAAAGUGAAGAAGGGCGUAGUACUGGGAUUGUUCCUGCUUCAACUCUGCUUUUGGAUGUUUAUUGGAAAGAGAUGGAUGCUGAUUCCGAUUGGGCUAAAAUAAAUGAAACUUUUGAUGGUGUGGAGGAAGGAUAUGAAAGUUCAAGGGAUGAAUUUUCAUCAGUUUCCUCCUAUAAUCCCAUGAGAGAUAAUAUUCACCGGACAUUUGGAAGCUCAUUAUCCUUGCGGUUAUCCUGGGCAAGGUCUUCAAGCAAAGAUCUUCCACAUCUUGAAGGACGGUCAAGCAUAUCUUCACAACUGGCACUUCCACAGAUAGCUGUGGCUGAUGUCUUGUAUGAUUCUAAUGGGGCAGAUGUUUUGUCCCCAAGUCAACAGCUGAAGAGUGCCAAGUCCUUUUCCAAGUAUGAUGAUUCGCUGGUACCUUCUGUCUCAGGCAUGGGUGAAUCUGGAGCAUUUGAUAAUCGGUCGCCAACAUUUUCUGCAGCAGAAGGGUUUGUUCGAGGGAGGUCUUACAACAUUAGACUGGAUGACCAAGUGCUUCUAAGAUUUUCUCCAAAAAAUUCUGAGUCAACGUAUUACUUCAGUGAUAUGAUAGGUGGAACCCUGACCUUUUUUCAUGAAGAGGGUUCUAGAAGAUGCAUUGAGCUUUCAGUAACCCUGGAGAUGACUGAGACUAUUAGCAGACGCUUUGUACAUCCUUCACGGAGACAUGCUCAUUCUAUUACUAAGUCACCAAGGCAUUUUGAAUUAUUCAGGUUCAUAGUGAUCAUCACGAGGUGGUUGCUGAUUUCGUUCAGACAAGCUUCCUUUUUUCCAUUCCGAUGGAUGGUCCUAUGUCUUUUUCCACUCACUAUGUUUCCGUACAGUGGGCUCUUCGAUUUGAAUUCUUUACCACUCCCAAGAAUGUUGAUUGGUCAAGAUAUGAGCAUCCUAUUUUGGUAGAGGGUAGAGAGAAAUGUGAGUGGGUACUUCCAAUAACUGUGCAUGCACCUCCAGGAAGAGCUGCUGCAGCUCAGACAAGAAAUGACAGGUCAUUCUCUUUGGAACCCCUAUGGGCCCAUACAUAAAGGUGUACUUAUUGCGAGAAGUUAAAAUGCAUUGCUCCAAUGCUGUUGAGAUAUCUCACCGGCAACCCCUGGAGCUUGCCCCCGCCAGGUUCUGAUUUCAGCAAGGAUUAGUAACUGUGUUUCAUUAUUAUUGUAUUUUAGUCAGCAGUAGAUAUUUCCCUUUCCAAUCUUUGGCGUUUGAUCUUGUUCUUCUUUACAUAAUUUUUUAUAUGAUUAGACAUAUAUUGUGCCGCCUUUAUAUAGAGAACAUUUUGUUUUGGGGAUCAUUACAGGUUAUCAUUAUGUAUAUGAUUUGACCUCUAAGAGGUACGAUAAUAUUGGAAAUACACAUACUUUCCAUUCAUGGAUUAA